rnacentral:misc_RNA from 1 species
UGAAGAACAGACCUUGUGUAUUUCUUCACAUCCGACUCAGGCAACCCAUGACCACCGGAUUUCUUUAUAAGAUCAGCCAGGGUUCCUCCGGAAGCAUAUUCCAGCAAGAGAUUGUAAACCAUUUCGCCAUCCUUGUUGAUUGUAAUUUCUUCGCCAUAACACUCGAGAAUAUAUGGACAACCAUAAAGAUGGUUGAAGACCUCUUUCUCCUUCUGAAGCGAACUUGAAACGGAGACCUCCGCUGAUUUCACCGCCAUAACCGGCGGAUAUAUUCUGUUUCUUGAUUUG